UGGGGAAUCUUGGACAAUGGGGGCAACCCUGAUCCAGCCAUGCCGCGUGAGUGAUGAAGGCCUUAGGGUCGUAAAGCUCUUUCGCCUGUGAAGAUAAUGACGGUAGCAGGUAAAGAAACCCCGGCUAACUCCGUGCCAGCAGCCGCGGUAAUACGGAGGGGGUUAGCGUUGUUUGGAAUUACUGGGCGUAAAGCGCACGUAGGCGGACCAGAAAGUUGGGGGUGAAAUCCCGGGGCUCAACCCCGGAACUGCCUCCAAAACUAUUGGUCUAGAGUUCGAGAGAGGUGAGUGGAAUUCCAAGUGUAGAGGUGAAAUUCGUAGAUAUUUGGAGGAACACCAGUGGCGAAGGCGGCUCACUGGCUCGAUACUGACGCUGAGGUGCGAAAGUGUGGGGAGCAAACAGGAUUAGAUACCCUGGUAGUCCACACCGUAAAACGAUGAAUGCCAGUCGUCGGGUAGCAUGCUAUUCGGUGACACACCUAACGGAUUAAGCAUUCCGCCUGGGGAGUACGGUCGCAAGAUUAAAA
rnacentral:rRNA from 1 species